UCCGGUUUAACACCGGCAGUCUCGCUAGAGUGCUCAGCAUGACCUGAUGGCAACUAGCGAUAGGGGUUUCGCUCGUUAAGGGACUUAACCCGACACUUCACAGCACGAGCUGACGACAGCCAUGCAGCACCUGUGCACGUUCCACUACGAGAGUGUCACCGAUGUUUCCACCGGCUAAUCCGUGCAUGUCAAGCCUAGGAUAAGGUUCUUCGCGUUGCUUCGAAUUAAGCCACAUGCUCCACCGCUUGUGUGAGCCCCCGUCAAUUCCUUUGAGUUUUAGCCUUGCGACCGUACUCCCCAGGCGGUGCACUCAACGUUUUUACUUCGACCGAGAAUGGUGUCAGAACCUCCUCGAUCUAGUGCACAUCGUUUACGGCGUGGACUAC
rnacentral:misc_RNA from 1 species